UGGCCUUAACAUGUAAGGAGAUUUUGGCCUGAGUUUUCUACACAUAAAUUUUCCAUCUCACCUUAGUGGUCAGUUGGAACAGGAACAAAUCGGUCAUUAUAUCCAAGGAAGAAUCAGGAGAACUGAGAGGACAGACCUCAGAGGGGAUGUCAUUGGAAAAGGAAGACCUCCCAGAGAUCAUCCAAGCUGCCUUUAUUGCUCCACAGGGCAGCGGUUGCAGCCCCGUACCACUCACAAGUCUCUACCACCUAGAUUAUUGACAAUGUGAUCAGAACCUCUGGAAUACUCUGAAGGAUCUCCAGAGGUAGAGGUUGUGAAGGAGAAAGUAGAUGUGUAAAUGCUCUGAGACACCAGGACACUACAAAUUCCAGGCAAUGAUGGGAUCACCUUGCAUCCACGGAGUUGGGCACCACAAGGCUAUACUGGAAGAGGAAUGACUGCUAAAUCAAGUGUUUGAAGGACUCCUGAGGAACAAACAUGGAAUGCUCUGAGUUGCAUCCAACUAUCCAGAUCUUCAAAUAUCUGACACCCUGAUUCCACAGUGCAGUUUCAUGUCAGAGCAACUUGACCCAAGUUCCAUUUGGAAAUUUGCAUCCAGUAAAUCCCGGCGAACCUCACGUCCUUAUCAUGC